AUUGAACGCUGGCGGCAUGCUUUACACAUGCAAGUCGAACGGCAGCGGGGGAGUGCUUGCACUUCUGUCCGGCGAGUGGCGAACGGGUGAGUAAUAUAUCGGAACGUACCGAGUAGUGGGGGAUAACCAAUCGAAAGAUUGGCUAAUACCGCAUACGUCUUGAGAGAGAAAGCAGGGGACCAUUUGGCCUUGCGCUAUUCGAGCGGCCGAUAACUGAUUAGCUAGUUGGUGGGGUAAAGGCCUACCAAGGCGACGAUCAGUAGCGGGUCUGAGAGGACGAUCCGCCACACUGGGACUGAGACACGGCCCAGACUCCUACGGGAGGCAGCAGUGGGGAAUUUUGGACAAUGGGGGCAACCCUGAUCCAGCCAUGCCGCGUGUCUGAAGAAGGCCUUCGGGUUGUAAAGGACUUUUGUUCGGGAAGAAAAGCGCAGUGUUAAUACCAUUGCGUAAUGACGGUACCGAAAGAAUAA
rnacentral:rRNA from 1 species